rnacentral:sRNA from 1 species
GACCACGCCCUUCCCCUGGUACCGCCCUCUGACUGGGGAAGCCCCGCUCUCCACUCCGUCUGAGGGACUCCCUUGCCCCUCCUAGCCGGCUCAGGACUCCCCCGUAGUCUUCGCGACCCCUCCCCCAUUUCAGACUCCCCAGACUCCGCCUCCAUGUCCGGGGACUCCGGGGUUCUCCCAGAGACACGGGCGCCCCCUCUCCACCGUAGGUCAGGGCCCCCACAAGGCGCUGGAGGCCCCUUCCCCAGCCUUAGGCCCGGGGACUCCCCACCCCCAGCUCCGACACCCUGCCUCCCAUCUGGGGACGCCACGCAAUUAGAGGAGAGGAGGAAAAUGCUAAAGGCAAAGGGGGUGUGCGGCAGCGGUGGAGGCCGGGGAAAGCAGCUGCAGUUGACCAGAGUAGCAGACCUGUCUUCCAGCCCAGCUCGGGCACCCCACAUUCCCCUCCCCUCAGUCCCCUCCCCUCCGCCAGGAUGCACACACCACCCGAUGCGCUGCAAAGGAAAGAGACUUUUGGGGGAGCACAGCCCCUUCUGGGCCUGGGGCUUGCGAGAGAUCUAUCAGUCUACGUUAGGCGCUGUGCGCUGUGCUUUGAGCAAAUUAAACCCUUUACUUUAAUCCUGGGAGGCAGGCACGAUAGUUGCCCAUUUCACAGAUGAGGAAAUAGAUGUACGAAAGUGACUUGCUUGUUGUCGUUUGCUAGAAACGGGCCAAGAGAGAAUCUUAGCUGUAUGAGCGGCUUCAGUCUCAACUCCUAACUUCGUACCUUGUCGUUCUGACUAGGGAUGGAGCCUCAGAGGUGCAGAAAAGAAACCUUGUCUGCAUCAGAGAGGCGUUUCCAUCAACCAGUUUUGCAAGGAGUUCAAUGAGAAAACAAAGGACAUCAAGGAAGGCAUUCCUCUGCCUACCAAGAUUUUAGUGAAGCCUGACAGGACAUUUGAAAUCAAGAUUGGACAGCCCACUGUUUCCUACUUCCUGAAGGCAGCAGCUGGGAUUGAAAAGGGGGCCCGGCAAACAGGGAAAGAGGUGGCAGGCCUGGUGACCUUGAAGCAUGUGUAUGAGAUUGCUUGCAUCAAAGCUCAGGAUGAGGCAUUCACCCUGCAGGAUGUACCCCUGUCCUCUGUUGUCCGCUCCAUCAUCGGGUCUGCCCGUUCUCUGGGCAUUCGCGUGGUGAAGGACCUCAGUUCAGAAGAGCUUGCAGCUUUCCAGAAGGAACGAGCCAUCUUCCUGGCUGCUCAGAAAGAGGCAGAUUUGGCCGCCCAAGAAGAAGCUGCCAAGAAGUGACCCUUGCCCCACCAACUCCCAGAUUUCAAAGGAGGCAGUUGCAGAGGCUGUGCCCAUGGGAGGAAGCAGGUCACACCAAUAUGAUGAUGGUUUUCAUGACUUUGAAUGAUAUAUUUUUGUACAUCUAGCUGUAUCGAGGCAUCAGGCCUGAAUAAACAUCCUUUCUUACCCACUGUCAUCUUCUAUCUUGGGAUGUCAGGGAAGGGGACCAGUACUGGUGGUAGCCAACAUGGGCAGACGUUAGGAAAUUGGGGUCUUCAUGCUGCUUCUCAGAUGUGCAAACUGAGGUUCAGCCAAGCAAAAUAACUUGCCCAGGUCCUUUUUUUUCUUUUUUAAGUUAUAAUUUUGUUUUAUUGCCCAGGUUCUGAAUUGGUGCCAGAGGUAGGAAUAGAACCUAGGCCUUCUCAUUUGAAAGCUUGUGUUCUUCCCCUACCCAGGGUGGGAACUAUGGGUGCUAGGGCUGGGGUGUAUUGCUUACCUCUUCCAUCAAAAAUCUCUCUUUUCUCUGAACAACUUGCCACCUCAGCAGAAACAAGUCCCUGUGGAGAUCUCAGUUCAGCCCCAGGCAGGGUUACUACAUGGAGUACCCAGAUCCCAGGGGCUACUUCAGGCCCUUCUACUAGGCUCCUGACCCUGGCUCUGGGUCAGAUGUUGGCUGAACAUGAACUAUUGUAGGGCUGACAGCUACAGACCACAGAAAGAGCAAAGCUUCAGCAGGUUCCUGCCUGAUGCAGAAGUCCUCGGGAAGCCCUUGGCCUUUUGUUUCCUCAUUGUCCUUUCAGAGAAGAGAGCAGGAGUUGGGGGAGAAAGGAGAUUCGCAUUUACUGAGCAUCUGUUAUGUGCUAGACACUUCAUUUUACACUGAGGAAAAUAUGGAAAGCAUAGACAAACACCUAAAAGAAAAUAAAAACCUCAUGUUAUCCCACC